UUAAAGAAAGGCUUCAAAAUGAAAUCCACGGACAAAAACGGGGGGCGCGAGUGUAAAAAGUGAUUAAUUUUGGGAAGAUGCAAUAAAAUGAGAAAAGUUGGAUACGCAGCGUCAAAUUCAAGUGGAAGGACGCUCGUGUAAUGAUUCUGACUUCCGCCAUGAAUUCGAUGCUCAAAAUACGCAGGCCUAUUUGUUCGCUCUCUCUCUGCAAUGAUUCUCCACUGCACCUACAUGUAUCUCCUUCUCUAUUAACUCUAGUUCUCUCUCCAUUGCUUCCAACAAGAAUAAGACAGCUUCAUCAAUGGAAGUCUUUGUUCUUGUGUCACAGAUGCAUAUAAAGAGAGGAAAUCAGAAGCUUCACCACUGGAGAAGCCCACCUUGGUUCACCCCCACAGCUGUCGUUCACCCACACACCUUGAUUGGCCAGGUUCUCUCUCUGUUUCUAUUGACUAGUCUUUACUGAUUUCUUUGUUCUCUUGUUUAUAGGGUGUUUCGAUUGGUCCCUUCUGCACUGUUAGAUCAUCUUCCAAGCUUGGGAAUGGUUGUCAAUUGUAUCCUGAAUGCCAUGUUUUUGGAAAUAUACUGAUGGCAUUGGACAUACGCUUAUAGGCAUGAUAACAUAAUUGGUAAUCAUGCUGGGGUUGGCGUUAAAUGCCAAGAUAUGAAAUUCAAGUUCCUUUGGAUCAUUUUGGUUGCUAAGAAAGCAAAAUGCCGUCUUGCAACAUUGACAAAGUGUUGCUUGUUCCGGAUAUUUCAGAAUAAGGCAUGUUUACUUUGCUUGAAUUGGUAAGAAUUUUGCAAAUGGCGAUAUUCCCUGUUCUAGUUACCUGUGGUUUCAAUUCUAUUAACAUCUCAUCUUGCUUACAUUGAUCAUCUGCUGACCUGACUUAUAAUUUCUAUACUUUAUGGAUAACAUCUGCAAAUAUUUGCAAUUCCGGGUAACAUACUUACAGAAGCAUGGCGUUGGAUGCAUAUGGCCAACUCUUUUCCCUUGCUUUUCUGUUGCUUGUUUCAGAUUUCUGUUGCUUAUUUUUGUUCACCUUUAAGAAGUUGUUUCGGUUAGUUACUGGUUUGAAAGAGUUGUAAUCAUGCACAUAUGUAUUAUGUACACCAAAACAUUUUGAGUGUAUUUCUGUUCAAUCUUCAUAUAUAUGUUUGUCAUCAUCAUUAUCAGUUUUUGCAUUUGCAUUAUCAUGUAUAUACUUUGCUCAUGUAUAGCAGAGUCUGCCCUGUUGCAGUGAUUUAGAAAUUUAAGAAUUGUUUUCUAUUUAAAAUAGCCUCUUUUUGUUUUUUUUUGAUCCUUGCAUUUAGCCAGGGCCAGUGGAUGAAUGUUCUCUUGACAUUGUUUAUAACAAUGAAAUCAGUGAGCAUUCUUCAAUUCACCUAUCUUCAAAGUCAAGUGAGAGAACGUUAUGGCCAGUGUGCCAAUGUAUUUUAUAUGCCAUAGUCAUUUUUUGACAUUCAUGGGGUCUUGUCAUAUUGCCCAUGACUGCAACAUUGGCAACAAUAACAUGUUUACUAAUAAUACUUUUCUAGCUGGUCAUGUUAUUGUGGAAGUAAGUCCUUAGCUUAUCUAGUUAUCUCAUAACAAUCAGGAUUGAUAACAUUAUUCAACAUGUUAAUUUACUAAUAUUUCAUAUCUAUUGUUUGAUUAGAACUUGAUUGAGGUGCUGCAAAUGCAAGACUAUAUUCACACUGCUGGUGCUAUUGUUGUUCAUCAAUUUUACCAUAUUGUUUGGUUUUCUUUUAUCAGUGGUGGAGCUGUGGUAUGAUCUUUUACUAUUUUUUGGUUUUGAUUUUUCAUUUUGCAAUGCGGACAUGUGGUGUUGGACAAGUCUACCACUGAUAUUUAUACAUAUUGGUGUGUCCAAUAGGGAAAAAAAUGCCAGACUGAAAGUCCAUGUUGCAUAAUUGCGUGUUUUGCUGAAUGUAUUUGAAAUGAGUAUAUUAGAACAUAUAAAAUAGAAGAAAAUUUUUCUGUCAUGAAAAUGUAUUUGUUAUGGCUGAAGGUUUCGCAAGAUGUCCCUAAAUAUGUAAUGGUGGCUGGAGAAAGAGCUGAGUUUCAUGGUCUGAAUUUGGAGGGUCUUCAACGACAUGGAUUCACAGCCACAGAGGUCAGUCGUUACUUUCAUUCUGAUGGCUUUGCAAGGCAGCUAAAGUGUACCACCAUGGUUUCUUGAAUAUAACUUGAAAACAUCGCAAAAGAGAUUUUUAGCGAAUCUUGAUGAAGGUUUGCAAGUUUUUAUAUAAUAAUAUGAACUUGCAUAUCACAGCCUUGAGAUGCUGCACUGUUUCUUUGGCAGAGAGGGAUUUGGCAUCUGGGGUGAGACUUGAGAGUCAGAUUUGAUAUUCUAGUACUUGUUUGGCUUUCAUGGUCUUGGCUGGAGUAAGUGCAUGAUUUAUGCGAGGAGCCUUCUUUUGAUGGGAUGGAAUAUAUGCUCAAGGUUGUUGAUAUAGAUAAAUGAGCUUAUUGUGAAAAUCAUCAUUUGAAAAAUUAUGAUGGUACAAAAGGAAGUCUGUAAUAAAAUUUAAUGUCUGCCUCGUGUUGUUUUUGGUGGAUGCAUCAGCUGGUUUUUGAAAUUCUUUUUAUUUUGAUGCAACAAGAUUGAAGACAUUGGUGAAUUUCUGAUUAAUGAUUGACCUGAUAUUUCUUCUUCCUCUUUCCAUUUUUGUUCAUUCUCCUAUUCUAUGCUUUCUAUAUCUUUAAUACUCCAUAUUUUUGUUUGUUGUUUGAAUGACCUGCAUAUAUUUUUGGGGAAUGAUAUUAGGAGUCUGAGAUUGGCUUACAGAAAGAUAUUCAUGUCCGUUGAUGCUAAUUCUGUGAGUUUUGAAGUGUGUCUUGCCGAACUGGAUGAAGAAUUGGGUAAGAUUCCUGUUGUAUAUUUCAUGGUGCAGUCUCUUCGUGAUUCUUUUGCAGAAAAUCAACGUGGAAUAUGCAGGUUUAGACAUUGGAAUGGCUCUUGAAGACAUUUUGUUGUGAGUUUCUCCUUCUCUUCCUUCAGUUGAAAAUAAUUUCCUAUUUGGAAAAUAUAUUUCAUUUUCUCUUUUAUGAUUUUGGUCCUGUAAAUAGCCAAAAUGAUUCAGGGGUCCCUUGGCUUUCCCAUUCCUGAAGUGUGCAAGUUUUUAUAUUAUUUUCUUUUAUUCGUAGUGUCAUUCGGGCUUUUUUGUUACUGUAUGAAUAGUUUUGGUAUUUAUAGAUUUGCUGUUGUGUAUUUUCAAGCUGCGUAGACUUCAUUUCAUUGUGAGAGGCAUUCCGAGCGGCUUUGGGUAGAGUUCAUUAUUGAGACAUGAGAAGCUGAGAAAUUAGGGAAACAGAAACAGAUUAUUUUAUUAGUUAAUUCUUGAGCUAUGGAGAGGCUGCAGGCGUAGACUAUUUGUGUGAAAUGAACAGAAGAAUUUUAUGUUUUGCUCAAUGGAAAUGUGUUUAGGUAAAUUCUUCACCAUGUUGGUCAAUACAUUACUGUCAUUUGCAAUAAUAACUGGUACCAAUUCUUGACUUAAACACGGUUGAAGAUUGAUUCUUCUAAUCUAUUGACCAUCAUGUUUUGCUAUAUUUCUCUGUUUUUGGUUGUUACAUUAUUAGAAUUUACAAGUUUUACUUGAAAAAUAAAAUUUUGGUUGGUAAGCGAGAUAUUUACUUCUCUUAAAUCACCUCACACCUACCAUAGUUCAUGUGGCCUAUUCAAUUACCUAAGGUCCUAUCGCCACAGUUUGCUAUCAUUAAUGAACUAUGAAACCCUGCAACUGCAACAGCAAAAAAAGUAUUUGACUUGCUUGGAGAAAUAAAUAUUUAAUGAGUUGUAGGGUAGGCAGCCUUACCUGUUGACUUGCUUAAGAAAAUGUAUAUUUGACUAUUUGUCACUUUGAUGGCUUAGAAUUUUUCUUGCUUGGAGACAACCAAGUGGACAAAGAAAAUAUAGAAUGAAAAGUCCAUUAGAACAGUUGCCACACACACAUAUUCAUAUCCUAUGGUGUAUAGAAUGCUAAAAACUACCAUAUAUAAUUAAAUUCUAUUCAAUGGGCCAUCCUUCUGUGUAUUUAAUUUUUAAUUCUCCUUUUUUAAUUAGUUGAAAAAUGUAUUCCACUUCUUGUACACUCAAUUGCUUUCAGGCCAUUUCACUUCACAUUCAAUCAUUGUUAUGGAAGUAGGAUACUUUCUAAAUACAAAGCACCUUGUCAUGUGUGGUGUGUGUGUGUGUGUGUGUGUGUGUGUGUGUAUGUGUGUAUAUAUAUAUAUAUAUAUAUAUAUAGAGAGAGAGAGAGAGAGAGAGAGAGAGAGAGAGAGAGAACUUUAAUUCUGCUUUUGAGAGGCCAAGUUCCAUUAGCACUUCCUGUAUAGGUAAGGACUCACUUUCUCCUCUUUAUCUUUUCUUCUUAUUUAAAUGUUUGAUCUUUUAAAAAAAAUAAUUGGCCUUUCUUUCUUUUUUUUUCUUUCUUAAGAAGCAAGAUGAGGAAGGGAAUGUCAGCUUUGUGGAACUGGGUAUUUUUUCAAUUGCAUGGGAUGAUAAGUCAAAGUUCACAAACUUAAGAUAUUGUGUUCUUUCACCUGCUAACACUAGCAAGAACUGCACUCCUUCCCCACAUAGCACCUGCAAAUGAGCAUAAUUAAGUGUUAAUUAUUAUCAUUAGCCUUGCCUUUGAGGCAAGAUGACUGAAUUGUUUUUAAAAGAAAGAUGCAAAGUGCCUGUACAUUGGACAUUCCGCAACUUUGAGGUACAAUUGGGUUUAAUUAGUAGCUUCAUUAUUUUUUUUUCCUUUUUUAUAUAAUGAUAUGGAGAAGGGAUUUACAGGCAUAUCUGUGAUUAGUGGUUGAGGUUCUUUAUGUGAAAAUGACCUGUGAGGUGGCCUUGUCCAUUCAUUACUUUUUCCAUGUUCAAACUUGGAAAAUAGAUUUGCUGUC